rnacentral:rRNA from 1 species
UACGAAGGGGGCUAGCGUUGUUCGGAAUCACUGGGCGUAAAGGGCGCGUAGGCGGCUUUAUAAGUCGGGGGGUGAAAGCCUGUGGCUCAACCACAGAAUUGCCUUCGAUACUGUAGAGCUUGAGACCGGAAGAGGUAAGUGGAACUGCGAGUGUAGAGGUGAAAUUCGUAGAUAUUCGCAAGAACACCAGUGGCGAAGGCGGCUUACUGGUCCGGUUCUGACGCUGAGGCGCGAAAGCGUGGGGAGCAAACGGG